AAUGGGUCAGCGACUUAUAUUCUGUAGCAAGGUUAACCGAAUAGGGGAGCCGAAGGGAAACCGAGUCUUAACUGGGCGUUAAGUUGCAGGGUAUAGACCCGAAACCCGGUGAUCUAGCCAUGGGCAGGUUGAAGGUUGGGUAACACUAACUGGAGGACCGAACCGACUAAUGUUGAAAAAUUAGCGGAUGACUUGUGGCUGGGGGUGAAAGGCCAAUCAAACCGGGAGAUAGCUGGUUCUCCCCGAAAGCUAUUUAGGUAGCGCCUCGUGAAUUCAUCUCCGGGGGUAGAGCACUGUUUCGGCAAGGGGGUCAUCCCGACUUACCAACCCGAUGCAAACUGCGAAUACCGGAGAAUGUUAUCACGGGAGACACACGGCGGGUGCUAACGUCCGUCGUGAAGAGGGAAACAACCCAGACCGCCAGCUAAGGUCCCAAAGUCAUGGUUAAGUGGGAAACGAUGUGGGAAGGCCCAGACAGCCAGGAUGUUGGCUUAGAAGCAGCCAUCAUUUAAAGAAAGCGUAAUAGCUCACUGGUCGAGUCGGCCUGCGCGGAAGAUGUAACGGGGCUAAACCAUGCACCGAAGCUGCGGCAGCGACACUGUGUGUUGUUGGGUAGGGGAGCGUUCUGUAAGCCUGUGAAGGUG
rnacentral:rRNA from 1 species